rnacentral:rRNA from 1 species
CGAGAAAGCCCGCAAGGGUGAGUACAGCGGCGCACGGGUGCGUAACACGUGGGUAAUCUGCCCUGGAGCCCGGAAUAACUCUCCGAGAGGAGAGCUAAUGCCGGAUGAGCCCACGGGGUCUUAGGACCCUGAGGGAAAAGGUGGCCUCUGUAUACAAGCUAUCACUUCAGGAUGAGCCCGCGGCCCAUCAGCUAGUUGGCGGGGUAAUGGCCCACCAAGGCUACGACGGGUAGCUGGUCUGAGAGGACGAUCAGCCACACUGGAACUGAGACACGGUCCAGACUCCUACGGGAGGCAGCAGUGGGGAAUCUUGCGCAAUGGGCGAAAGCCUGACGCAGCAACGCCGCGUGUGUGAUGAAGGUCUUCGGAUCGUAAAGCACUGUCGCGAGGGACG